rnacentral:siRNA from 1 species
UGGAAUUCUGGUCCGAGCUCCCA